UAUGUUUUUCCCAAGCCCCAAUUCACCAUGCAGGACAAAGGUAAGUCUGUACUUAAUGUCAACACAAAUAAGUAGAAAAGGUUUAAAAAUGAUAUAGUGAACUGAUUGUAGUCUAUUGCUUUUACAUUAGGUAUAGCCUGUGGCUGAGGGAUCAGAGGUGCUUUACACUUGUCCUCUUCCAGCAUUCAGCACUUCAGACACUCAACGUCCAAGAUGGAGCUAACACCCCAGCCAGAAGACAGCCUGACCCCGACCAACCCAAUGAGAAGGAUGGAUGACCAAGUGAAAAACUGGAGAGUGGUGCUGUGCUCCAACUAUGGCAGCUGAGAGUGGACAGAGCUGCACAGAGGACCAAAGAUCCACUCUCAGCACUUCAUACCUGACUGGCCACAGCACCACCCCUCCUCAACCUGGGUGAGGAGGGACCUGACCCCACCUCCACAGAGGGAGUUGUGAACAUGCACUUCUGUGUCGGUGGGUUUAGGAACCUCCUCACACACACACGGAUGAAGACUGUCACUGGAAGAUGUCUCCAUUGCA